UCCUCUUUACAGAGGCAGUUCGUUCCGAGUCCCCGACUUUACUCGCUGGUAACAGAACGUGAGGGUUGCGCUCGUUGCGGGACUUAACCCAACAUUUCACAACACGAGCUGACGACAGCCAUGCACCACCUGUGUACCUCCCUCGAAGGAAACUCCAUUUCCGGAGUGCGCAGGUACAUGUCAAGCCCUGGUAAGGUUCUUCGCGUUGCAUCGAAUUAAGCCACAUGCUCCACCGCUUGUGCGGGCCCCCGCCAAUUCCUUUGAGUUUCAACCUUGCGGCCGUAGUCCCCAGGCGGUUCACUUAAUGCGUUAGCUGCGGCACCGAGGGUUACCCCCCAACACCUAGUGAACAUCGUUUAUGGCCAAGACUAC
rnacentral:misc_RNA from 1 species